GUCUACAGCCAUGCCACCCUGAACAAGCCCGAUGUCUGAUCUCGGAAGCUAAGCAGGGUCGGGCCUGGUUAGUACUUUGAUGGGAGGACACCUAGGAAGACCAGGUCCCGUAGGUA
rnacentral:rRNA from 1 species